GUGGGUAUAGCUCAGUGGUAGAGCACAUACUUAGCAUGCACAAGGUCCUGGGUUUAAUCCCCAGUAUCUCUG
rnacentral:tRNA from 1 species